GAUGAACGCUGGCGGCGUGCCUAAUACAUGCAAGUCGAGCGAACGGACGAGAAGCUUGCUUCUCUGAUGUUAGCGGCGGACGGGUGAGUAACACGUGGAUAACCUACCUAUAAGACUGGGAUAACUUCGGGAAACCGGAGCUAAUACCGGAUAAUAUUUUGAACCGCAUGGUUCAAAAGUGAAAGACGGUCUUGCUGUUACUUAUAGAUGGUUCCGCGCUGCAUUAGCUAGUUGGUAAGGUAACGGCUUACCAAGGCAACGAUGCAUAGCCGACCUGAGAGGGUGAUCGGCCACACGGGAACUGAAACACGGUCCAGACUCCUACGGGAGGCAGCAGUAGGGAAUCUUCCGCAAUGGGCGAAAGCCUGACGGAGCAACGCCGCGUGAGUGAUGAAGGUCUUCGGAUCGUAAAACUCUGUUAUUAGGGAAGAACAUAUGCGUAGGUAACUGUGCACAUCUUGACGGUACCUAAUCAGAAAGCCACGGCUAACUACGUG
rnacentral:rRNA from 1 species